rnacentral:rRNA from 1 species
UACAGAGGUCUCAAGCGUUGUUCGGAUUCAUUGGGCGUAAAGGGUGUGUAGGUGGCGCCGUAAGUCGGGUGUGAAAUUUCGGAGCCUAACUCCGAAACUGCAUUCGAUACUGCGGUGCUUGAGGACUGGAGAGGAGACUGGAAUUCAUGGUGUAGCAGUGAAAUGCGUAGAGAUCAUGAGGAAGACCAGUGGCGAAGGCGGGUCUCUGGACAGUUCCUGACGCUGAGGCACGAAGGCCAGGGGAGCAAACGGG